UUGGAAGUAAAAGUCGUAACAAKGUUUCUGUAGGUGAACCUGCGGAAGCGUCAAUG
rnacentral:rRNA from 1 species